rnacentral:rRNA from 1 species
GAUGAACGCUGGCGGCGUGCCUAAUACAUGCAAGUCGAGCGAACGGACGAGAAGCUUGCUUCUCUGAUGUUAGCGGCGGACGGGUGAGUAACACGUGGAUAACCUACCUAUAAGACUGGGAUAACUUCGGGAAACCGGAGCUAAUACCGGAUGAUAUUUUGAACCGCAUGGUUCAAAAGUGAAAGACGGUCUUGCUGUCACUUAUAGAUGGAUCCGCGCUGCAUUAGCUAGUUGGUAAGGUAACGGCUUACCAAGGCAACGAUGCAUAGCCGACCUGAGAGGGUGAGCGGCCACACUGGAACUGAGACACGGUCUGGACUCCUACGGGAGGCAGCAGUGGGGAAUGUUCCGCAAUGGGCGAAAGCCUGACGGAGCAAGGCAGCGUGAGUGAUGAAGGUCUUAGGAUCGUAAAACUCUGUUAUUAGGGAAGAACAUAUGUGUAAGUAACUGUGCACAUCUUGACGGUACCUAAUCAGAAAGCCACGGCUAACUACGUG